rnacentral:rRNA from 1 species
CGUUGUUGCAGUUAAAAAGCUCGUAGUUGAAUUGAAGUGAACUUGGGUUGAUGUGAUCUUCGGAUGACAUGAAUCAAAGUUGACUCUUUCCAAAGUCAAUACAUUGGUAUUCAUUUAUCUUUGUAUUGUGUUUGGUCAUUUACUGUGAGAAAAUUAGAGUGUUCAAAGCAGACGUUUGUUUGAAUACAUUAGCAUGGAAUAAUCAUAUAUGGCUUUCAUGUUGAUUUGAUUGGUUUGAAUAUGGAAGCAAGAUUAAAAGGGACAGUUGGGGGUAUUCAUAUUCAAUAGUCAGAGGUGAAAUUCUGGGAUUUAUGGAAGAUGAACAAGUGCGAAAGCAUUUACCAAGGAUGUUUUCAUUAAUCA